rnacentral:rRNA from 1 species
UACGGCUCAGUAACACGUAGCUAACCUACCCUUAGGUCAAGAAUAACCUCGGGAAACUGAGGAUAACUCUUGAUAGAAAAUAAUUUUUGGAAUAAUUUAUUUUUGAAACUCUAGCCUAAGGAUGGGGCUGUGGCUGAUUAGGUAGUUGUUGGUGUAAUGGACUAACAAGCCGAUGAUCAGUAAGGGCUCUUAGCGGAGAGGCCUUGAGAAGGAAUCUGAGACACUAUUCCUAGCUCUACGGGGUGCAGCAGUCGAGGAAAUUUUACAAUGCUCGAAAGAGUGAUAAAAUAAGCCAAAGUGUUUCUCUUAGAGAAACUUUUAUCUGCUGUAAAAAUGCAGAUGAAUAAGGACUGGGCAAGACCGGUGCCAGCCGCCGCGGUAAUACCGGCGGUCCGAGUUGCAUCCACAUUUAUUGGGUCUAAAACAUUCGUAGCUUGUUUUGUAAGUCCCUUGUGAAAUCUCAUAUCUCAAGUAUGAGGCAUGCAAGAGAUACUGCAAUACUAGAGACCGGAAGACGCAAAGAGUACAAUUAAGGUAGCGGUAAAAUGUGUUAAGCUUAAUUGGACUAACAAUGGCGAAGGCACUUUGCGAGUACGGAUCUGACAGUGAGGGAUGAAGGCUAGGGGCGCAAAAGGGAUUAGAUACCCCUGUAGUCCUAGCAGUAAACACUGCUCACUAAACAUUAGUACCUCCUCGAGAGGUAUUGGUGCUGCAGGGAAGCCGAAGAGUGAGCUACCUGGGAAGUAUAGUCGCAAGGCCGAAACUUAAAGGAAUUGGCGGA